UAAUGUUGCAGACAGUAGUAUGGGUGUCAGAAGGGGAAAAGGGGUUACUCGGGAGCAGGAAUCUGAUGAUGAGCAGCAGAGAAAGAGGAUCCGGGACAUACUUACAGCACCUACAGAUGAAGAGUUGUUUGAGGGAUUCUCUGGGGAUGAUGGGUCAAUGAGUGAAGGAGAAGAAGGAGACGCCAUGGAUUGGACUAAGAUAAGAGAAGUGCAAGCUAUUUGUGAGGCAUCAACAACUAGUGGUACCUUUAUGGGGUUCUCUGGGAGUGAAGACUGGCAAUCAGGGGAUCCAACUGAUUCUUGGGGGGAUCUAAGUCUUGACAGGAGAUGGAGGAAUUGGAGGGAGAGUCAAAGGAAUUCAUGUGAAGAGCUGGGAGCAGCUGUGGGAGAUGGUGAUGGGGGCGGCGGUCAGUUCAUCCUCUGAUGAUGGUUUGUAGAUAAAAGUGGGUUCAGGGGUGAGGGGUCUGAUGAUAUCGACAUAACUAGCACUUUUGGCCCAGUUUCCUCUGGAUCUAAUCCAAGAUUUUAUCAUUAUGUUUUUGUAUGUGAUUUUUAUGACUUGUUUUUAUUGUUGUUUGAUCUGUUUUAUUGCUUUGUUUCUUGUAGUCUUGCUGCUGCCUGUUUCAUGUUCAGUGUUGGACUCGGAUCUGCAGUUUGGACCUGAACCGGUUUGGCUGGAGACGCUUCUUCUGCAGACACUGGAGCAACGCUGCUUUGAAUUCCUCCUGCUUCAACCUUGGACUUCAGCUGACAACGCUUCUCUUCUUGCAACUCCCUCUGUUAACCAUUUGUGUACUGUGCCUUUUGUUUUGCCUUAGAGCACUUUGUUUGACUUGUUGUUUUUUGCAUCCAGUUGAUCUGGAUUACAUUUCUGUUUACCUUUUGGACCAGGUUUGGUUUGGGUUUUUGAGUUUUGACCAGUGGAACUGCAUUUAAGUAUCCCUGCGUCCUUUUCCUUUUGUUUAAAUAAACUCUGUUUUGAAGACACUUUUAAGUCUGGCCCUUUAAGGUGUCUGUGAUUCCAACACACACACAUACACCUUUCCAGACACUGUUUUCAUCCUCUAAUCUUUUCCUUCCCUUGUCACAAGGAUUGGAAAUGAAGGUCGAGCCAAGCUCUGAAAUCUCAUAGCCCUUAGAUUUGUGGAUGCCGGGGAUACAUGCAUCUGGAUCCAAGCUGCUGACCUCCCCCUUUCUGUCUAACAACCGUGUGUCUCCAGAAUUUGGGAAAUGGAAUUUUGAAAACUUGGUGCUAUAAUGGUGAAAUUUAUGGGAGCCAUGGAGAAAAGCCUUCACACAAAGCUGGCUACUGGAAAAAAUAUAUGGCCUCUUAGGGAAAAAUCAACUGUAGUGUAAGUAUGUUGUUUUGUAAAGAUUUUUUUUUUUCUGCAGGAAAAACAAAAGUGAAGACCUGCCAAUGUUUUUCUGAACUUGGCACCUUCUAUUGAACUACAACUUGGAAAUGAUGGGGUUUCUCUUUCAACACAACUUUAUGUUGAGGCAUCAUCAUCAUCAUCAUCUUUAUUUAUAUCCCGCCCCCUCUCCAAAAGGACCCGAGCUGGUUUACAAAAAAUAAAUAUAAGACCAAAGCAAGAAUAAAAACAUAAUACAUAACAACAAAAUAAAAAAGGAAGGCUGCCUUAUCAUGGUUCACCAGUGAAUAGAGGAGGAAGCAAUGCAUAUGUGUGUUCUAGUGGUAGAACCGAUGGAGCUCCAGUUAAUUACAAAUGUCUAACCAUCCUCUAAAUUGCACACCGUUCACUGAAACAUGAAAGUUCUAUUAAACUGACUAAUCCAGAGCCCUGGUGAAAAACAUGAUCCAACCCUAAGGCAUCCUUCUUUAAGACUGUGGGAAGAAAUAACUUUGGAAUAUAGUUCCACAAAUCUGAAAGUCAUCAGUAAUCUUGGCUAAAGGGUUCUGGGAACAGUGGUUCAAAAUGGUUACUGCUUAUUUAAAUACUGUCUGUCCACUUCUCAUGAUGUACUGUAUCUUUCCACGCUAAUGUAGCCCUCUACUGAACUAAGGAUGCAUCUACAGUGUGGAAUCAAUGCACAACUCUAUGCCAUUGUGGGAGUAGUUUAUUUAUUUUAUUUAUUUACAGUAUUUAUAUUCUGCCCAUCUCACCCCGAAGGGGACUCAGGGCGGAUCACAUUACACAUAUAAGGCAAACAUUCAAUGCCUUAACAUAGAACAAAGACAAGACAAACACGGGGCUCUGAGCUGGCCUCGAACUCAUGACCUCUUGGUCAGAGUGAUUUGUUGCAGCUGGUUGCUCAACAGCCUGAGCCACAGCCUGUUGUUUUGCAAGGCAUUUAGCCUUCUCUGCUGAAGAGUGCUGGUGCCCCAAAAAAGUACAAAUCUCAGGAUUCCAUAGCAUUGGACAAAAGCAGUUAAAAUGGUGUCAAAUCACAUUCAUUCAAUUAUGUAGAUGCAUCCUAACAAAUGAGCAAGGGUGCCCUUAACGUGUUCUUUCAGUCCUCAAAGUCUUUCUGUUGCUCCUGUUGUUCUCUGUGGGUGCUUCCAGACAGUGCCAAAAUGCAGGAUUUGAAACUGGGGCAAAUAAUCCCGGGGCCUGACAACAGGUCCACAUAAAGACGUGUCAGUCCCAGGAAAUGCCCCCCUGCCAUCCUCACAUCUUCCUUUGAAGCAAAUCAAGAUAGAGGGUGGACAUCUGGCAAAAGUUUUUUUAUAAAGAUCUUCUAGAUGCGCUGGACCUCAUAUGCACUAAUGCAGAGAUCCAAAUGUAAACACAAGCAGAUUUCCUAUCUCUCUCUUCACCCAACUGUUAAUUCAAGCUUUGUUCUAACUUUGAGGACUACUUAAGAAAAAAAUUAAAAAAGAAAUAAGGACUGAAUUAAUGGAUUUAAAAGAACAUAAUCGGAAGUCAAACCACCACCUUCCCUAUCCCCCUGCCCUAACCCCUACCCUACCUCCCAUGUCCCACAGCCCCCUCCCCACCCCAUCUCUCCCUUACCCUAACCCAUGUAUUUUCCACCACCUUAACCCUAUCCCUAAAAGUUACUACUUGUUUGUUUGUGUACCAUUUGUUGAGAAAAAUCACAAUAAAAAUCACAUGUCAAAAAAAAAUAUUGUAAAUAUCUAAAUAAAGGAAUGCUUGCAGCGUUCUAAUUGCUUUCCAAUUUGCUUCCCUUUAUCCACUUGUGUGUCCAUGGCUCCAUUUUUUGACAGCCCAAUCAGCUGUUUCUGGCUUUUAAAACGUGCAUGUGCGUUGGAGCAGUCAGCACAGGGAGAAUGGACAGAAAUCACAUGUUUUGCAUGGCUGCAGGGUUAUACAGUUAUGCAAAGGUGUGCAUUUUGGGAGUGGAAUCAGGUUUUCAGUACACCUUUUUAUCACGUGCUUUUCAGCUGUUAACCCAAUUCUGCCCGAACUUUCGAUAAACAUCGUUUAGCCAUCCCCUCUUUUAUCUCAGUUACUGCUGGAUUUUUAGGCAUGUGGCCCCUUCUACACUGUGAUAUAAAAUCCAGAUUAUCUGCUUUGAACUGGAUUACAUGGCAGUGCAGAUUCAUAUAAUCCAGUUCAAAGCAGAUGUGAAUUAUCUGCUUUGAUAAUCUGGAUUAUAUGGCAAUGUAGAAGGGGCCUAAGUGUAUAUGCUACAUUCCUAGAAAAGAAUAAAAAGUGAACAAGCCAUUUCAGGUAUCAAAGUAAAUAUAGAUGCAGUUAAGACAUGACACUCUUACAACCUCAUUUCACUCACCACUCAGAAUAUCUGUGAUCAUAACAACUUGGAAAUGAAUGGCAUCUUACAGCAAUUAAUAUGGAUGUUUCUGAGGGGAAAUGCGCUAUCCCUUUUCAACAAAACACUACUUUGAGUAUGAAAGAUAAUUUCAAUACAACACAGGACUAAACAAUAAACAUUAAUUGCUCUCACAAAUGGCUGUCUCAAAAGGAUGCAGAUGUUCAUCUCUCAACUGUAACAUUACCUGGUCAGAUAUUGUCACAAUAAACAUUGUUUUUGAAGAGGUAAAAAUCGGAUACUAUAACUCACAAUUCAAUAGUUCAGGGUGUAUUGCUUUUGCUUUGAAGUUACAGCUACAUUCAAAGAAAACUCCUUAAUGAUCUGACCUGUGUUGCUUUUUAGAAUUAAAAAUGUCCUUUGGACUCCAUCUCUUUUAAUGUCUCCAGCAGGGGGUGAUAGCUGAGAUUUGGAGAGGGAGCAAUUAUUCCAGGGAGAAUGGGAAUAUUCACAGCAGGUUUUAAAGGCAUGAUAGCUAUUGGAUACAUUCAAGAUCCUUUGUCCAAAAAAUGAGUAUUUGAUCUGGCCAUUCUCUUUCUUUCAACUUAUAUGCCAGAGGCAUCGAUAUGUCAGCAGUGUAAAUCUAUUAAAUUACUUAGAAUAAUGAUGACUGCUUACUCUUACAAACCCAUGUUCACUGGCCUAAGGAUGUAAAAUGAAUGUGGUCUGGCACUACUUUAACUGGUAUGGCUCAAUGUUAUGGAUGCAUGGGAAUUUAUGUGAUGGUCUUCUGUGCCAUUUGCACUUGAAAUGAUGAAGAUACAGAUAGGAAAAUAAGUUUGAUUAUCACAAUCCGGUGGUUUGUCGCAAUCGUAUUUUAUAAAAGUGACAAAAUCUACAUAUUUUUAGCUAUUUCUGAGAAACAUGAAAACGAGAGUCCAUUUCUUUAAAAGCUAAAGCAGUAAUGGUGACUAGCUAAGCCUUGGUACUACAAGUAUAAUUGGGGUUUUUUAAAAAGUAACUUCCCAAGCUCUUCCAGGUAUCAUGCAGUUAUCAUUUACUGUGGGUGCAUGUGCCUUCAAGUUACCUGUUGCCUUACAAUGACACCAUUAAUCUCAUAGAGUUUUCUUAGACAAGAAAUUCUCAGAGAUGAUUUUGUGUGUUUCUCCUUCUGAAAUAUAUCCUGAUAAUUUGUGUAGGUUGAUCCUGCAUAACUUCAAAGAUCAGACAGGUGCCUUUGAGGUAAGUAUGUAUAGGAAAAGGUAAAGGUUUUCCCCUGACAUUAUGUCUAGUCAAGUCCAACUCUGGGAUUUGGUGCUCAUCUCCAUUUCUAAGCCGAAGAGCUGGCGUUGUUCGUAGACUCCUCCAAGGUCUUGUGGCUGUCAUGACUGCAUGGAGUGCCAUUAUCUUCCCGCCGGAGCGGUACCUAUUGAUCUACUCACAUUUGCAUGAGUUUAAAGUGCUAAGUUGGCAGAAGCUGGGGCUGACAGUGGGAGGUCACCCCACUCCCAGGAUUCAAGUUCAGCAGCUCAGGGGUUUAACCCACUGCGCAUAGAUGUACAUAUAGUUCCAUCACGGUACAUGGUGCUUUAUAAGUAAAAUACUAACAAAAAAUCUAGUUCCUUGCCCUCAGGUUUAUAAUCUUUACAACACACAAGAAAAGGGGGAUGACAGUGUGGAAGGGUGUUAAGUCCAACAGACACGUCCUCUUUUUUUUCUCCAUCUGAGGCCAGGACAUUGACCUUUAACCUGCUUCUGAGCCUAGGCACAAUAGAGCCAUACCUGUUCCUCCUUCUCUCCUCCCAGGGUCAGGGCAGUGGCAGCUGGAGCGAAGGGAGGACCUUCCCUAUGUAUCUGAGCUUAGACAGGAUGGAGCAAUGUCUGCCUUUCUUUUCAUUCUCCAAGACCAAGAUGAUGGUAGUUGGGAUGAAGGCAGGGCAUUUAGGAUAUUUAAGCCUUGGCUGUCACUCAUUAUCACCCACUCACUCUAUAUGUCUGGCCGAGGGUGGAAAGAUCUGAACCUAGGACUUUCUAUACACAACACUUGU